rnacentral:tRNA from 1 species
GUCUCGAUAGCUAAGUGGUAUAGCAUGCGAUUGCAGUUCGCCUCCAUCGCAGGGUCCGGUGUUCGAACCACCGUCGGGACU